rnacentral:rRNA from 1 species
AAUAAACGCUGGCGGCGUGCCUAACACAUGCAAGUCGAGCGAGAAAGCUCCUUCGGGAGUUAGUAAAGCGGCGAACGGGUGAGCAACACGUGAGAAUCUACCCUUUAGUGAAGAAUACCCUCGAGAAAUCGAGGCUAAUACUGCAUACGUCCCUUCGGGGAGAAAGAUGGCCUCUUUGCUAUCGCUAAAGGAUGAGCUUGCGUACUAUUAGCUAGUUGGCGGGGUAAAGGCCCACCAAGGCAAUGAUGGUUAACCGGCCUGAGAGGGUGUACGGUCACACUGGAACUUAGACACGGUCCAGACUCCUACGGGAGGCAGCAGUGAGGAAUCUUGCGCAAUGGGCGAAAGCCUGACGCAGCGACGCCGCGUGGAGGAUGACGGUUUUCGGAUUGUAAACUCCUGUUAAGCGGAAAGAAAGCCUUGUUUCUAAUACAAGCAAGGUAUGACGGUACCGCUAGAGAAAGCACCGGCUAACUUCGUGCCAGCAGCCGCG